UAAUACGGAGGGUGCAAGCGUUAUCCGGAUUUAUUGGGUUUAAAGGGUCCGUAGGCGGACUGAUCAGUCAGUGGUGAAAUCCUAUCGCUUAACGAUAGAACUGCCAUUGAUACUGUUAGUCUUGAAUUAGUUUGAAGUGGCUGGAAUGUGUAGUGUAGCGGUGAAAUGCUUAGAUAUUACGCAGAACACCAAUUGCGAAGGCAGGUCACUAAGUCUAUAUUGACGCUGAUGGACGAAAGCGUGGGGAGCGAACAGGAUUAGAUACCCUGGUAGUCCACGCCGUAAACGAUGGAUACUUGCUGUUGGGACUUCGGUUUCAGUGGCUAAGCGAAAGUUAUAAGUAUCCCACCUGGGGAGUACGUUCGCAAGAAUG
rnacentral:rRNA from 1 species